GGGGACAACCCGCCGAAAGGCGGGCUAAACCCGCGUACAUGCCACCGGGGCAUCCCGGAGGCAGGAAAGGCUUCGGCCGGACAGGGAUGGGCAUGCGGCGCAUUAGGCAGUGGGCGGGGUAACGGCCCACCCAACCGACGAUGCGUAGGGGUUCUGAGAGGAAGGUCCCCCACACUGGUACUGAGACACGGACCAGACUCCUACGGGAGGCAGCAGUGAGGAAUAUUGGUCAAUGGUCGGGAGACUGAACCAGCCAAGCCGCGUGAGGGAUGAAGGUACAGAGUAUCGUAAACCUCUUUUGUCAGGGAACAAAGGCGGGGACGUGUCCCCGGAUGAGUGUACCUGAAGAAAAAGCAUCGGCUAACUCCGUGCCAGCAGCCGCGGUAAUACGGAGGAUGCGAGCGUUAUCCGGAUUUAUUGGGUUUAAAGGGUGCGCAGGCGGUCUGUUAAGUCAGCGGUCAAAGCCCGGGGCUCAACCCCGGCCCGCCGUUGAAACUGGCAGUCUCGAGUUGGAGAGAAGUAUGCGGAAUGCGCGGUGUAGCGGUGAAAUGCAUAGAUAUCGCGCAGAACUCCGAUUGCGAAGGCAGCAUGCCGGCUCCACACUGACGCUGAGGCACGAAAGCGUGGGUAUCGAACAGGAUUAGAUACCCUGGUAGUCCACGCAGUAAACGAUGAA
rnacentral:rRNA from 1 species